AGUUUCUGCGCGCGAAACGUGUUCAAGAUCCGGCAUAUUUUACACUCCCCGUACUAUUGUUGCAACGACAAUACCGAAUGUUGCUCCGCCCUGAGCGCAGGGAUCAUUGCGGCUAUUGUGAUCGGCAGCGUUGUCGUCAUCACGGCAUGCGUGGUCGGCUGUGUCUGCUGCUGCUGCCGCCCUUGUAAAGCUGCCCCUGUUCAGGUGCUGCAACCAAAUGCCGGUACUCAGAAGUUUGUUGCAAGCGUCAAUCAACAGAACUCCACCGUCGCCGCCCCACAGUACCCCGCGCAAUAUCCGGCGCAGUAUCCGUACCCUGCCUACCCGCAGGGGCAGCAGCAGCCUCAAUAUCCGGGACACCAGCAGCCGCCGACGCAAUAUCCGGCGGCAUAUCCUCCACCCGCUUACAACCACGGGCAGCCGCCCCCGGGCCAAGACGUUUCGCAGACACUCCCGGCUAAGAUUCAAUAAAUCGAUGGGAUUGUAAGAUCCCACUGAAACAUCCAGUACAUACGGGGUGACGACACGAGACAUUGAUAUCAUGGGAUCAUUAUAAAUGUAUGCUUGCGGAUUGUUGUUGCUAGAGAAUGUGUACGCGUUCGUUAUCAUGCAUUAAGGUUACAUUACACUAUAUAAUCAAGUCAGCUGUACUCUCUAAAAAAAACAUCACAUUUUUACUUGAAGGCAUGUUUUAUACUUUAGACUGUUUUUCUCACUGACCCGUAGUGCCUGAUCAGCGCUGUGGUUCCACCGCCCUGAGAGUGUCCUGUGAUUAAAGGAUGCAACACUUGUUGAUGGGCGGCUCCAUCUUUUAUGUUUUGGACAUAUU